rnacentral:rRNA from 1 species
UAGGGAAUAUUCGUCAAUGGGGGAAACCCUGAACGAGCAAUGCCGCGUGAACGAUGAAGGUCUUCGGAUUGUAAAGUUCUGUUGUAAGGGAAGAAUGGUACGAAGAGGAAAUGCUUUGUACAAAGACGGUACCUUAUUAGAAAGCCACGGCUAACUACGUGCCAGCAGCCGCGGUAAUACGUAGGUGGCAAGCGUUGUCCGGAAUUAUUGGGUGUAAAGGGUGCGUAGGUGGUCAAAUAAGUCUGUGGU